GGGGCCGUUUUGGAUUUGACAGGGUGGCGCUAAGUAUGUUAGCAUGCAGUGCGUUGUACGGAGAGCACUUAAAAGAGAACGUUCAAAACAAUAAUUGGCGAAAAUAACUACGCCUUAGCUGCCUAAUUUAGAAUUACGUAAGCUUUUGUCUCGCUAACUGCCGCAAUGUUAGGUUAGCAUCAGAGGCAUCGAAAUAACAAUGCUAGCUUUUGUAGGGUACGAUACAAAAGCGAAACAAAGUACCUAAGGAGAAAGUUUAGGUCGGUUUCCAGCCCGACUGAUCCCGACAACUAAUUGGAAAAUAAGCAUGUAGAAGGUAUAAUUUAUCACACAACUGGACAAGGGUUCGAACCCCUUCGGCUCCACCA
rnacentral:tmRNA from 1 species